UGGGGUGUAGCUCAGUUGGUGGAGUGAUUGCCUAGCACACAAGAGACCCUGGAUUCAAUCCCCAGCAUCCCAG
rnacentral:tRNA from 1 species